rnacentral:rRNA from 1 species
UGGGAUGCGAAUCUCGAAAGCCUGUCUCAGUUCGGAUUGGAGGCUGAAACCCGCCUCCAUGAAGUUGGAUUCGCUAGUAAUCGCGCAUCAGCCACGGCGCGGUGAAUACGUUCCCGGGCCUUGUACACACCGCCCGUCAAGCCAUGGGAGCCGGGGGUGCCUGAAAUUCGUGACCGCAAGGAGCGACCUAGGGCAAAACUGGUGACUGGGGCUAAGUCGUAACAAGGUAAC